UGUCUAUAAAUGGAGAAUGUUCAGCACUGUUGCUACUCUCCCUAGGAGUGGCUGUCCGGCAAAGAUGACUGCAAGAGCACAGCACAGAAUGUUCAAUGAGGUUAAGAAGAAUCUUAGAGUAUCAGAUAAAGACAGAAAUCUCUGGAACAUGCUAACAUCUCUGUUGAUGAGUCUACAAUACGUAAGACACUAAACAAGAAUGGUGUUCAUGGGAGGACACCACGGAAGAAGCCACUGCUGUCCAAAUAAAACAUUGCUACACUGUCUGAAUUUUGUCAAAGUGCACCUGGAUGUUCCACAACGCUACCAGCAUAAUGUUCUGUGGACAGAUGAAACUGCAGUUGAGUUGUUUGGAAGGAACACACAACACCGUGUGGAGGAAAAGGCACAGCACACCAACAUCAAAACAUCAUCCCAACUGUAAAGUAUGGUGGAGGGAGCAUCAUGGUUUGGGGCUGCUUUGCUGCCCCAGGGCCUGGUCAGCUUGCUAUCGUUGACAGAAAAAUGAAUUCCCAUGUUUAUCAAGACAUUUUGAAGGAGAAUGUUCGGCUAACUGUUCUCCAAUUGAACCUCAACAGAAGUUGGGAGAUGCAACAGGACAAUGAUGCAAAACACAGAAGUAAAUCAACAGAAGAAAAUAAGCCUUCUGGAGUGGCCCAGUCAGAGUCCUGACCUCAACCCCAUUGAGAUGCUGUGGCAUGACCUCGAGAGCAGUUCACACCAGACAUCCCAAGAAUAUUGCUGAACUGAAACAGUUUUGUAAAGAGGAAUGGUGUUACAUUUAUUGUUUCUGUAUUGUGUUUUUUUUUGUAUGUGUGUUUCAGGAUGGCUUCCUAAAAUUCCCCCAAGCAGCUGAUUGGUCGGCCCCAUUGCUAAUUGGAGCUGAACCCGCCCUCUCGUCAGAGGAUACAGCUGUUUCCCAUUGGACUCCUCCUGAAGCUAGAAAAGCCUGUGUUCCUUUGUUAGGAGAGAGCUGAUUGUUAUGUUCUGUGCUAGUUUGUUGCUCAGAGAAAGAGAGCUUAUUAGUAUGUCCUGUGUGUGUCAAUAGGACGCAGUGUUUUUGAUUCUUGAAGUUGUUUACUUAUGUUUGUAUUCUGUUUCAUUUGUUCCCAGGGGGGAAGGGGAAGGCAACUAGGGAGUGCUUAGGCAAGAGGCCUGCGGGAAUACAUAACCAGUAGUAUUUACAGUCUAUGCACACUAGGUAAGACCUGGGCGGACCACCCCCUGUAUUUUGGUUAGCGCACCAGGAGGUGCUAAAAGGUUAGGUAAGUGGGUAGGCAGGUAAGAUAGGAGAGGGCAGGUUAGGUAAGUAGUGGGUAGGCAGGUAAGAUAGGAUAGGAGAGGGUAGGUUAGGUAAGUAGUGGGUAGGCAGGUAAGAUAGGAGAGGGUAGGUUAGGUAAGUAGUGGGUAGGCAGGUAAGAUGGGAGAGGGUAGGUUCGGUAAGUAGUGGGUAGGCAGGUAAGAUAGGAGAGGGUAGGUUAGGUAAGUAGUGGGUAGGCAGGUAAGAUAGGAGAGGAGAGGGUAGGUUAGGUAAGUAGUGGGUAGGCAGGUAAGAUAGGAGAGGGUAGGUUAGGUAAGUAGUGGGUAGGCAGGUAAGAUGGGAGAGGGUAGGUUAGGUAAGUAGUGGGUAGGCAGGUAAGAUGGGAGAGGGUAGGUUAGGUAAGUAGUGGGUAGGCAGGUAAGAUAGGAGAGGGUAGGUUAGGUAAGUAGUGGGUAGGCAGGUAAGAUAGGAGAGGGUAGGUUAGGUAAGUAGUGGGUAGGCAGGUAAGAUAGGAGAGGGUAGGUUAGGUAAGUAGUGGGUAGGCAGGUAAGAUAGGAGAGGGUAGGUUAGGUAAGUAGUGGGUAGGCAGGUAAGAUAGGAGAGGGUAGGUUAGGUAAGUAGUGGGUAGGCAGGUAAGAUAGGAGAGGGCAGGUUAGGUAAGUAGUGGGUAGGCAGGUAAGAUAGGAGAGGGUAGGUUAGGUAAGUAGUGGGUAGGCAGGUAAGAUAGGAGAGGGCAGGUUAGGUAAGUAGUGGGUAGGCAGGUAAGAUGGUAGAUGGGGCUUUGACAUUUACUUUCUUUGCUUUGGUUCCGUUCAGCUCCUUUCCCUCAAAUGUAUCGUGUGAAGGAAUAAAUUACCAGUAAAGGGUCAAUUCUCUGCCUUUUGUCAUCCUUACUCGCACCUACAAUCCCAU
ensembl:lncRNA